rnacentral:lncRNA from 1 species
GGGAGGACCAGUGGAAGAAGAAAGCUACCAUUUCUCAGCUUGAGAGAGUCUGCUCAUCGUUGGAGGGGUCGCACUGAGAUCUCUGGCUUUCAUAUGAGAAGAUGGUAAAAAAGGAGAAAAAGAGAAAUAAAUUCUUCAGCAAGAUGUGGAAAGGGGUAAAGGACCUGUGAAAGGUCCUAAAAACUCGAGAUAGACUUCAUUCCUCCUAAGUAGAGAGCAAUGAUGAGGCCCCAGC